rnacentral:rRNA from 1 species
AGUGAACGCUGGCGGUAGGCCUAACACAUGCAAGUCGAACGGCAGCACAGUAAGAGCUUGCUCUUACGGGUGGCGAGUGGCGGACGGGUGAGGAAUACAUCGGAAUCUACUUUUUCGUGGGGGAUAACGUAGGGAAACUUACGCUAAUACCGCAUACGACCUACGGGUGGAAGCAGGGGAUCUUCGGACCUUGCGCGAUUGAAUGAGCCGAUGUCGGAUUAGCUAGUUGGCGGGGUAAAGGCCCACCAAGGCGACGAUCCGUAGCUGGUCUGAGAGGAUGAUCAGCCACACUGGAACUGAGACACGGUCCAGACUCCUACGGGAGGCAGCAGUGGGGAAUAUUGGACAAUGGGCGCAAGCCUGAUCCAGCCAUACCGCGUGGGUGAAGAAGGCCUUCGGGUUGUAAAGCCCUUUUGUUGGGAAAGAAAAGCAGCAGGUUAAUACCACGCUGUUCUGACGGUACCCAAAGAAUAAGCACCGGCUAACUUCGUG